CCUGUCAUCACAGCGGCGGUUUUUUGCGCGUCCGGAUUGACACACAUCGGGUUGUCGCCUCUGAAGCAGUUUGGAAAUGUUGCCGCACAUCGAAGACGACAGUGUGCGGUUUGGCAAAGGAAGAGAAGCAUUAAUACGUGCCAAGCGUCUACGUAGACAUGGUGUUACUGAUGAUGGUGAUACUUUUUCUGCUGAAAGAUAUGGCGAUCGACAAAGAGGAAGCAGCUUUGGAUUCUUUAGCUUAUAGUGCUGGAGCUGAUUUAAAAUCUGCUAUUGCAUACCGGUAUCUUUGUCCUCUUCUCCAAAUAAAUUAUGUUUCCCCUCUCCCCCCAGACUCACCCCUAAAAACAGUUUGCAGUUACUACCUGGGUCUAAUUAGCUGUGAAAAAGGCUUUAGUUGAGUUGAACUUGGAUCUUCUUUAGUUGCCUGUAUUUUUGGUGCUGUAGCAUUCAAAGCACAUUAUCUUUGCAUAAAAAACAGGAUUAUUAACUCAACCUUUGACUUUGUGGA